UACAGAGGUCUCAAGCGUUGUUCGGACUCAUUGGGCGUAAAGGGUGCGUAGGUGGCGCGCUAAGUCGGGUGUGAAAUCUCGGAGCUUAACUCCGAAAUUGCAUUCGAUACUGGCGUGCUUGAGGACUGGAGAGGAGACUGGAAUUCAUGGUGUAGCAGUGAAAUGCGUAGAGAUCAUGAGGAAGACCAGUGGCGAAGGCGGGUCUCUGGACAGUUCCUGACACUGAGGCACGAAGGCCAGGGGAGCAAACGGG
rnacentral:rRNA from 1 species